rnacentral:lncRNA from 1 species
GAUUGUUUCCAUGUCUUAUUUUUUAAGGAACUUUUCCACUGUUUUCCACAGUGGCUGCACCAAUUUACAUUCCCACCAACAGUUUAGGAGGGUUCCCUUUUUUCCACACCCUCUCCAGCAUUUAUUAUUUGUGGUCUUUUUGAUGACGGCCAUUGUGACCAGUGUGAGGGCAUACUCAUUGUGGAUUUGGUUUGCAUUUCUCUAAUUGUCUGGUCCCUCUGUGUGAUUUCUCUCAAUUCUUGCCCACACGCAGCAAGGAUUUAGAGGUGUGGGCAGUCUGGCAGGGGGACUAUUCCGUCUGCGAAAUGUGGAGAUCACAAUCGAACUCAAAUGAUAGUAGUGUAUAGCAAAUUUUAUUUAUGCCCUCAGAGAGAGAGCAGGCCACCCUGGAGUACAGACUGGCUCUGGUCACAGCUGGGUCUUUCCUUAUAUCCCCAUACAGUGAAUGUAGUUGGGGACCUGAAUUUUCCUGCCCUGAGCCCCACUCAUUUUCCUGUCCCAGCCCUGCUGCACCAUCUCUAAGGGCAGUGUUGUUUGAUCUCUGUAUGAGGGUGCAUUUUGAUCCUCUGGUUGUUUUCAGGCUGGAUACCUUAUUAGCAUGAGGAACAGGUUAUAUAGAGGCAAGGUAAGGAAUGGGUGACAUUUCUUCCCUAACAGGGAGUGAGCAGCCCAGGUUGCUCAAGGUGGGGGAAGGGGUAUUACAAUGAAACCUGGUCAGUGGCUUUUGGGUUUGAUCUUCUUGAUGGGGACUUGAAGCCUAUAACAUGAUAAUUGGCGAUAUUGAGCAACUUUUCAUGUGUGUGUUGGCCAUCUAGUGUCUUCUUUGGACAUUGUCUGUUUAGGUCUUCUACCCUAAAAUGGGCAUAUUAAUGCAUGACUCCGUGGAGUUAUGGUAAGAAUUGACCAAGAUGGCCUUAGUGUUUCCCUCAACUUGACUAGAGUUUGGGCAGGCUUCUUUCUGCCCCUUGGCCCUUGACCUCACCCCAGAUAUCCUAUGAUCCUUGCCCCCUAUCCACCUCUUAAAAACCCUACCACCCUUUGAUUCAUUGGAGAUAAGUUGAGAUUGAGUUAUGAAGAAAAAUGUGGAAGUCCUGACUAUUAUAAUCCUUCCAGGAAUACAUAGACAGAAGAGAAUAUGUUCAGAGAAUUCUUGAUUUUCUUUGUCCAACAAAAGAAAAACUCAGGGGUAAAGGAGAGAAUGGGUCUUACACAAAACUUUGAGUUAUUCAAAACUCUGGCAAUGCAUCAUAAGCCAUGGGGUGGGCACUAAACUAAAAGCACCAAGAUUAAUAAUUUUCUGAGCCAAAGUACCUGAAGAAGUCAGAGGCCUCAGAAACCUGCUGAAGGGCACUGAGAAUAGAUACAUUUUAUAAAAUUCCUUUAAAAGGCUACUGGUCCACACCCUUUUGUGCUUUGGAUUAUUCCCAGUGUUUACUGUAGAAAGGGAGAGAUUAGAGAUGAAAUAUAUAGUCAUAGUUAAUAUCUCACCUCCCUUCCAUCAUACCAAAAACAAACAAACCCAAACAUGCCUUACCUACCAACUUAGCUAUUUUCAUUUUCAUCUAUUCUUAAUUUGGGACUGGAGCUGUGGUCAGCAGGGGUUCAGUAAAUGAUUUUCCUCACAAUAGCACUGCUGCUCUCUGCCUCACUGCUUUUUUCCUUGAGGGCAGAGAUGUCUAGGAAUCUCAUCCUGGCACUAUAUUCCUUGGUUGUUGGUUUUCUUUGACUCCCCUCCUCUCCCUGACAGGAAAUAGGAGGUCCUAGGUGAUACUUUUUCCCCAGCUAUGGCUACCAUAGCAAUGAAUAUGCACUGGGGUAAGAUAAGCCGUGUUACCAGGCUGUAGAGUCUUCCCUCAAAAUAUUUGAUGGAUUAAUUCCCAGAAACCUGCUUGCUCUGAGAUAAGGAGUGUGUGAGAGUGUGGUAGAGGAGUGUGGGGGUGCAGAUGGUGGUGGCCAUUUCUCAUUCAGUCACAACUAUUGGCUGAAAAUUAUCAUUACAAACAUACGUGUCACACUAUUCAGGGUUACAGAAUGCCUGGGAGAGAACUGAUCUAGAAUGAGGGUAUAUAUGAUAAACAAUAGGUAUAAGCAGGAGAGAGAGGCAGCACUGGGCUCCCCCUGACCCCAGAGUCACGGUAUCUCUCUUUUUUAUCCUCUUUGUCAUAGUCAAGUUCAAAGAGAUUUAGCACACAGGGACACCAGGCUGUCAGCUGAAUCUUCACUUAGACUUGAACUUCCAGCCUGAAUCUCUUUAUGUUUCUCUAUGGUAAACCAGACUGGGCAAUACCAACAGUGACGGUUUGAAAAUUGUCUGUUUACCUUUAAUUUAUUCUGCCUUACUUUGUCCAUAAAUGCAUCUGUUUUUGUCAGAGCAGGCCCCAGAUGAGCUGGAUGCUCCUCUUGCUACUUUAAGCUUUCAGUUUCUAAGAGCCAGCUCACUCCUCUGUCCUCCUUCCUCCCCUCUCAGAAUACAUGCACACAUGGAAUCCUCUGUCAGCUCCUAAACAUUUUUAUAUUUAGAGUUAUUAACCUUAGUAUCCUGUUGCUAAACAUAUAGCUCCUCUGUUAUGAAGCCUAUGACUGGGCAAUAGCCUUCUUUGUAUUUGACUGAAGUAGGUGAUUAAGUUCUUGGUAGUGAAAAGUAAGAAAAUGUGUUGUAUAGAAAUCAUGGGAAGUCUCUUUCUUCCCUUCCACUUUUCUGAUACUGAUGCUUAAAAUGUGGCUGUGAUAGCUGGAACUCCAGCAGCCUUUUUGGAGUAUGAUGAUGAAGGCUACAUCCUAGCAAUCACAGAAAGAGUCUAUGUCUCUGGUGGACAUGGAGCUAUUAUUCUAGUCUGGUCCUGGACUCUUUCAUACUUUUUUUUUUCUUGUGUGUAUGACAAAUAAACUCUUAUUAGCUAUUUCAUCUCCAGUUGGAAUAUUUUUAAAUCUUAUUUUAACUACAAUAUGUGAGCAUGUGCUAACAUGCUGAGUUUACUUUUCUCCUGUUGUUAUUCUAUUCUCCUGUUGUUAAAUUUCUGUGACAACUCCUAAUAUCUUUAUGUAUCUUCCUCUAUUUUAAAUUUUCCCUUAAAUAAACUUUAGUGGAAAUCACUGUUCCAGGAACUAUGCCAGGCUACUGGAAAACAAUGGUUAAUCUAUAAUACUUUAUGGCUGUGAGGCAUUCACCUGAACCCCUUUCCAAAGAAGUACAGGAGAGUGACAUCGGGUGAAUGUCACUACCGCCCAAAUCAGCUUUGCUCUUGGCAUAUAGAAAGAGUAGGCCUGUCUCUGGCCUUGAAAAAAAAAUGUAGUAUAAUAGAAAAGGAGAACAGAAAGGCUUAAAAUAAUGAAUGUUUAUAGGCAUCCAGGGAGAAUGAAAUUAGUGUUUCUUUUCUUUUCAGGCUUAUUGUUGAAAAAUUAAUAAUCUUCUGGAGGUCUGCUAUUAAAAUAGAAUUAGCAGUGACCUCAUAGAGAGCCCUAAAACUUACAAAUUGUGUUCCCUCUUGCCUUCACUGGUUGGGUGCAAUCCAAAGUGCGUCGAUUAUGAAUGGUCUAACUUUUGCAAAACAACUUUUCUUUUCUCUAAUUUUUGCAGUUGCUUUAAAAAAAAAAAAA